rnacentral:lncRNA from 1 species
GUUAUUCAAUAUAGUUUUCAGCAGAAUUGUUUUCACAACAGUCAAUAACAUAAAUGCAUUCAGGUAUUCAUGCCAUCAAAGAUUUUUUGCAAUCAGUAAAUGCAUAUAAACACAUCAACAUUAAGGAAAAAUAAACAUAAUAAAUGUAGUACUAGUGAGCAGCAUUUUGGACAAAUAUUUUGAUUUUACACAUUGAGAUUUUAUUUCACUUAAAACUUUUGUUUAAAAAUUGUCCAGUUCUUACAUAAAUGUAAAUACCAAGAAAAGUCAAAAUCUUCAUCCCCAAAGGAAUAUUGCUUAAAACAAUAACUUUAUGAGCAAACAACAUAUAUUAUUUCUGAUGAGAUCUAAGAUGACAUGAGAAAAAAUUCCUCAUCAAUUCACACCCUCAAACACACAUGUACAUACACUCAUAUAAAAAAAACUUAAAAGAGAUUUUAUACGAGUAUUUUAUGACUAUUGUUGGUAGAAUGGUAGAAGUAAUGCCUUGCGAACAUUUUUAUGUUAAAUACUGUAAAAUUCUAAGGUAAAAUGUAUUUUAUUUCUUAAUACUUUUUUGUCAAUUGCUCAGAGUUACUUCAGAGGAUACUCAUUUACAAAAGAGAUCAAUGAUAUCUGUGCUUUCUCUUUAACUCCCUUAGUAUGGCAUAAAAAUUUAACAUUACAAUGAUUGGCUUAUAACUCUAGACUGUGAAGACAACAGUGAAUGAAGUUUGCUUUUUAUUAUUGCUGCUCUGAGGUAAACAUUAGACUAAGAAACCUAUACAUUUUUGGAUAGGAGAAAGCUUGAACUUUGCAAUAAAAGUAAUGAAAAUUGCCUUCCCCAUGUUUCCCGACAAAGCCACAAUCGUGGCCCACUGUGCUCAGAGGGUUAAUCAGUUUCAGAAACAGUUCUCAAAUGUAUUCUGGUGUCCUAUAUCAGAAGGAAUUCUCAAUUCCAGAUUAUGUUCAUGCAUUAAUGAUGUUUUACCCACAGGGAUAUGCUAUAAAUUUGUAUUCCUUUAAAGACUGUUUAGAAGAUGGCCUAUGUUUGGCAAGAGUUCAACAUUCUUGAUAUACAAGCUGGGUUCUUUCUCGACAUAUGCAUGAUCUUGGCCUCUUACACUGGAAUCAUGAUGAAUGUUUACUUCCUGAGAAUUAUGACAUUGUGAUCUAUGUAAAACUUUUUUACAAAUAUCAUAAUCUGAGUUUUUAGUCUCACCAGUUUUCUUGGCAUUGUCUGCAGCUGAAAAAUUAGAUCCAGUUUUGUUUUGAUCAGGGAGAGCCCACUACUACCACUUCUUUCACAGCAUCAUCCUGAUAGUUGAGUUUUGCUGCUAAUUCUUUUUUAUAACAUUCACAACCACUGAGCUUUGCACCGUCAUGACAACAGUUUAUCCUUGCAGAAGUUGCUGUCUUGGAAUACAGUUUUUCACAGACUAAAUGCUCUGAACAUUUCUCAAACUCUAGGUGACCGUUCAACCUAAAAUCUUCAGAAUCCCACUUUUCACACACUAAUGCCUCGUCGAUUUCUAUGCUUUCCUGGUGGUAGUUUAUGGUUAAUAACGUUUCCUUUUUAGGGCUUAGUGUAUCACUGAUGCCUUCAAAGUUCAACUUUACUAUGGGUUCCCUUGUAGACUGAGCCAUAACUCUGUUAAAGUCCACGCUGUUUUCCAUGCCUUCUCCACAACAGUUUACACGAGCUGCAGUAGCUUUUCUUGCAGGAAGUGAGAUUCCUCUUCCAGGGCUUUCGCUCCAUUCAGCAUUGUUUUGAUGGCUGUUUUCAUUUGCUGACAUUUCUCUUCGCCGACUAAAAUGCCACUACUUUUUUAAAAUGAUCCAGUAAGUGGUUAUUCCUCCCUGCGUGAGUUUCGUCUGCUUAUAGCUUGCAAUCGAUGACUUCAGCAAUUGAAAAGAUAUUUGUAGAACUUGUCUUUCUUUUUGAUUAUUCUUUUGGAAUCACACCACAUAUAUCUAGAAUUCUAGAUUUUUGUCUUCAACACAAGUGUCUAGCAACGAAGAAUGUGUGAAAGACAACUUCGCUGCUUUUUAAACAUCAGCGAUCUUAAAUGGCGGACCUUUUUCUGCGACUUAUCGUUCUUGGCCUUUUCAGAUUUGUGUUUUGUUAGCGUGGGCAAAACAGCGCUUUGAUCAAAUUUAGCAGCAAGUUUUUAAAAUCUUGAUGUUGCAUCUCUGAAAGAAUAUCUACAAAAGCAUGGAGUCGCUACUAAUCAUUACAGAAAGGAAACUUCGGUGAAAUUGGUCAAUGUGCCAGUCUGACACCAAGCACACUUAUGCCAAGAAAACCCAUGGAAAUGACUGCAUUCUGAUUUCCUUAAUUUUUGCAUUCAUAGAAUUUUCAACAACUGUGUAUUUUUCCAUGUGUGUUGACAGAGAUAAUGGAGCAUGCAGAAAUAUGGGUAUGUAACGAAACUAAACCUCAGGAUAUUUCGUAACUCCGAGGGCGUACUCAGAGACCUCUAGUGUACCGGAACAUGUGUAGUCACCACCAAAGUUCAUUGCCGCUUAGAAAGGUCAUUUCCUGCAUGCCAGAACCUCACUCAAAGAUCACAUUCCCACUUACAAUCAGGUGCCGUCCGUUUUACAUGCCGUAGAAGAUUCAAGACAUGGCACGUGACAAACACGUCACCAAGAUUCGGACAUUUGUCAGCAAAUGACUUUGCCACAUUACCAACAUCAGAUGGCCCAAUAACAUCUCCAAUACAGACCCGUUGGAGAGAACCAACCUAAAGCCUGCCAGCCAAAACAUCAAGGAGCAGAAGUGGAGCUGGAUUGAUCACACCCUGUGAAAGUUGGCUGACAAUUUAACAAAGCAAAGGCAGCCAGGAUAACAUGGACCCAUCUAAAGAAGGAUGCCUAGAACCAGAUCCAUUGGUGUGGUGUACGUCUAGCCCUAUAUUUUACUGGGGAAAAACAAGACUAAGAAGAAUCUUGAAGUGCGUGAUCCUUGGCUGUUUGACAUGGAUAACAUUUCCAUUGUGUUUUGUCAAAAUAACAAGGCUAUCAGCAGCUGAACUAGAAAGAAAAGUGUGCUCCUGAUUGUUGUAGAAAUCAUUCUCUUUCAAGCAAGGCUAUGGAGUCAAAGGCUGCCAAAAUUUUGGGGGAAAGAUUUUUUAAAAUAGAUUUGGUUUUAGACAUGUGGAGAUGCUUUCUGAUGGAGAUUCCUCAAAUAUAAGACAGCUCUUGCAUUAGACCCAUACCCUGCAUAUAGAAGAAUGGCAAAUAAGGAGCUGAUCAUAAGGAUGGUUCAUGGGGUCCAAAUUCCAUGAUAUUAUCCAGUUGCUUCAAGACUACUUUCAUGGGUUUUUGAAGAGUAGGAGGUUCAGGUGCUCAUGCAGUUUGUGCUUUCGAAUUAGUUUCCUUAAUGAAAGAGUUACAUGUUGAUGUUGAUACCAUUAUCCUGACUGCUGACUAAGAAAGAUCAGCACAGAGUGUCUGCUACUUCUGCCGAUGCUCACAAAAAUUGCAAGGCAACGCAGGCUAAAUUGACACGUAAUAAAGACUUUGACUGACUUUUUGUUUAUACAUAAGUAAACAUUUCUAUGGGAGCUUUUUAAAAAAUAUUUAGUAUUUACUAAGCUUUCACUUUCUUUUCUGGCAUUUUUAUUUCUUGCUUUUUGUUACAGUUUUAUUACUUCAAAACUUUGUAUCUUUAUAUUAAAAUGUAAUACAGACGUAAAUUUGGUUGAGCUUUUCUGUAUAUAUAUAUAUUUAAACAUUUGUACGAGGGAUUUUUAAAAAAUUGUUUUCAAUAAAAUUUUCUUAAAUAUAAACACAACUGAGUUAUAAGCAUUUAAAAUAUUUUGGCACCAUUUUGUAUCGUUUCCAUGGCAAUCGAUAGAGUGACACUGUUAGGAACGGGGUGGGUGGGGUUUGUCUCCUCUGUCUGUUGGUAGGCAGGGAUUAUCACCUUUACCCGUAUACCUGUGGAAGUCAGGAUCCCUCUCGAUGGGGAAAAUACUGAGUUUGGUUAUUCCCACGCCAUCCUUCGAAGCAGAGAGACUGUAGCGAAUUUUGACAAAGUGUUUUUUUUUUUUUUUGGUUUGGCUUUCAACCUAUCCACGUAAGAAUGGUGUGAAAUGAUGUAAUAUUUGUUUAGAAGUCAUGAUAUGUGUGCAUUGGUGUGAAUGUCUCUUGACAUCAUCCGAACAAUGAGUUGAACUAUUUUGCUGAGCUAUUGGAGAAACUUUUCUGUAACUAAAUGGAGCGUCAAGGAAGUUGACAGUAGUCCAUGUCAGUAAUAUACUAUUUGUGGUUUAUAGCCAUAUGUUUAUGCAUUGAAGUUGAGUUAUGUAAAAGUUGUUGCCCUCCAUUUUACAAUAAAUACAAGCUCCCGCUCAAUACAGGAGAAAGCCCACGUACAAAUCUUUGGAUCUGUUGUAAGAAAGAACACGUGUGGGACGGAGUAUGUUGUCAGUGACUUAUUGUGCUAUCCUCAACACACGCGCAAUAAAAGUAUUUUUUAAGUUUUAUUCAAGGGCCAAACAAUUAAAAAUCAAAAUUGACGAUAUAUUAAAGGUAAUUUACUUAAAGCCGUGUCUGGUCUUAUAAGGCACAUAAGACCUCGCUUCCCUCUGUUCAAACAGCACCGACCGACCUAUGACGUAAUCCGAAACCAUGCUCGCGCCGCCAUCCUUGUUCUAUGACACGUGUUUUUGUUCAUCAUUUCGCGCUUUAUCCCAUGUAGCCUAUAUAUAGCUUCCACUAAAUUUUACCCUCACUGCAGCAAGCCAAAGUGGUGUUCAGCAUCUGAAAUCUGAGUCAUUUAUUUAGUACGAUGCCGCCUGCUAUUCUGUAAGCAGGUUAGCACAGAUUGAUUUUUGUUUUUGAGUUGUCGAGCAUUCAAAAUUACGUAAAUUUCGGAUAAGCGCGAGAUACGAUCGAUCGAGUGUUACAGGUUUCGCCAUGUGCUUCAACGGGGGAAAUAACUGUUGGAAAAGCUAGGACUGGCACCGGUGAAAUAUUUGACAGGACAGCUUCAUGAAACGCUGAAGACAGUAUGCUUUCAUAGAGUGAUAGAGAAGGCUAAUAAAUCGCUCUUUUAGGGAUUUCGACUGCCAUGCAUAAUAGUUUGUUUAUAUACAGGUAAUAAAAUAAUCCUAGGACAGUUCUACCCAGAUUCAGUUCGUAGUGAAUGAACUGCUGACCUUACUGAGCUGUUUAAUGUGACGUCAUAAAAACAUCGUUGAAGGACAACUAGUCUAUGAGCAUUAAGUCAUCAUAAUAAAACAUUUCUUGGUGUUUAUUCUUGGCUGCUAAAGCGACAAAGAAAUUUGAGUUUUUACAUUUCUUUACUUCAACUCAGGAACAAAAAUAUAUUUGAUUCGACUGUUGCAGCUUUGCUGACGACACUCAGCUGAUAUGUAUCUCACCAUUCAUUGUCUGUUACGUAAUGCUCAUUUACCACUACUGGUCAGCUCAGACAGAGUUCGACCUAUGUUGGUCGUGAUGCUGCACGAUACAAUUAUACAUUGUUAAACGAUAUAGUGAACAAUCAAUCGGCUUUUGUCAGUUUGACGCUUGAAAACACCUAUUUUAUUUUCAUUACAAUUACAGUUCUGUUUAAUAAAAAAAAAAAAUGCAUAUAGUACAAGUAAUUUGUUCAUAAGUCAAACAAAAAUCCAGUAUUAUGUGGGUUUUGGGGUGGAGUUUUUUAAAAGAAAUCAUCUAACACUUGGUCCAAACUUCUAUAACCUGAAAGCAAAGGUGAUCAGUGUUGUCAAAUGUAGCUAAGUUGUUGUGCUGCAGUUACAAAAGCUGUCAGUUUUACAGUUUACAUGACUUGUAACUGUAAAAUAUAUUGGUUGCAGGAAGCGAGCCGGUCAUGUCCCAAAGAAAAGAGGAAAGUGAUGACACUGUCAUUCCUUUAAAUGAUUUGGAACAAGAUUCUUCUGAUACAUUCGAGCUUUCAGACGAUGCUCUACAGGGUACAUCUUCAUCAAGCAAACAAAAAAUUGGCAUAGAUUUUGAUGAGGAUACUCUGGAUGAGACCCCAACGUAUAAAACUUCAAAGAAAUGGAGGGACAGUGGGUACCAGUCUUUUACCAGUGACUCGCAGUCAUAUUCUCUUGACGCUGAUGAGUCAGAAUGUUCAUGGGAAACCAAACAUAAUACCUCAGCUGACAUGAAUGUCACAUUCUGGAGUGAUAGCAGUUUGGAAACAGGAAGGAACUGCAAAGAAAAAUCCAAGACAUCACAAGAUAUGAACCUUUACAGUAACUCUGAUUCAAUAGAGAGUAACUUUUCAGAAACACAUGGCACCAAAAGAAUAAAAGACACAAACAAUAAAAUAAAACUUUUAUAAUGUUUUAUAGUGCAUUUAGUUGAUCUGUCUCUGAAUUGUGUGCCUUUUUCUUCUUAAUAAUAUCCAGCCUCUCUUAAGGAGUUGAGUUACACUAUCUUACAUGUUUUUACAGAUGACGUUUAACUCAAUCACUCUUCUAGCAAAGAUUAAUUUCUUUCUUUCCUUAAUCCUAUAUACACCCAUGCUUAAAUGGAAGCCUGUAUGUCAGAUAUUAAAACAUGAAAAUAAGCUCUAGUGACUCUUAAAUUGUAUCUUUGUUGAUUUUCAGAAUGGCAGACACACACGCACUCUUUUUUUUUUUUUUUUGGUGCUGAAUCUGUUCAUAAUCUAGCCCAGAGAUUCUCAACCUUUUUCAUGACUGUACCCCAAAAGGGUGAAAGUAUGUCCGCGUCUACCCCUCACAUGUAAGUUUGUGCAUAAAAGUACUUAUUUUCAUAAUGGCCUGUGCUUAUUUACACAAACAUAUUACAGAACUGCUGGCAGACGAUUUUUUUUUCUCCCAGUUAACUACUAAAAUGAGGCAGAUGUGUACAGAGCUUCCAGUUUAUUCCUAUUUCAGAUCACUAAAACGAGGCAGGUGUGUACAAAGCUUUCGGUUGUCACAUUCA